CAACACGAUCGAAUUUAUUACAGUAUUUUUUUAACAAUCAAGCUACAAUCCUCGCAAUUUGAAGCAGUAUAUGUUCUACUGCACUAAAUCAGAACCGGUUGGGACAGUGUGGUUUUUCAGCCUUCAGUGCAGAUCGAGAGUCAUCUGCAGGCUGUGAUUGGAUGCUUUUAGCAUGCCUGAUGUUGACUGGGGAGGUAUAUGUGCACUCAUGCAGAAGAAGUAGAAGUUUUCACAUCCAAUUUGGCAUUUAGAGAAGCUGAUCCGAAGUCCGGUGUUGGCAGUGUGUGAUCGACAACCCUUGUUUUGCCUCGCUGCGCUCUGUUACCUUGUAGACAUUGUGGAACUUGGACAUGUUCUACUACACCAAAUCAGAACCAGUUGGGACAGUGCGGUUUUCGUAGGGAGCCUU
rnacentral:misc_RNA from 1 species